UAUAUCAACUUUCAUUAUAUAUAUAUCAAAUCUUUUUUUCCUACCGAGCCCCGGAAGGGACAUGUCCGUAUGGCGAAGCGACAAUGAAGGACACUCACCCGGACGAGAAUUUUAUUGAGUUUUAUUUUGAAAUCGGCCUGAAAUACACAGACAUUCAAGCAGUGCGAUGCGCUAAGAGUCUGCCAUGCAGACCAGCGAUCCUGAUAAUGUUGUCGGCCUUGGAUGAUGAGGUCCAGUUACCAGGAGCACUAGUCUGCAGCUUACUGGUUCCGUCCUGCAGCUCCUCCACGCUGUCCUCCUCUCUACAGACCAAAUCAAGAAAAGGGAACCAGGAAGCUGCUGUGGAUCCUCUGCAGUAUCUGGAGAGGUCAGAGGAACGGUUCUUGGAACAGAUCGGAAGACACCAAGACGUGACCUCUGCCAUUCUCCAGAACAUCCAGAAGAUGAAUGAAAACCUUGGUUGCACUGAUGGGACGCAUGGUGUCGGUGCUGGAGCAACUGUCCCAGAAUUAAACUGCAUUGUUGACUAUUGGCUUUUCUAGAAAAUAAAUCUUUUUUAGUACUUCA